GACGAACGCUGGCGGCGUGCCUAAUACAUGCAAGUAGAACGCUGAAGAGAGGAGCUUGCUCUUCUUGGAUGAGUUGCGAACGGGUGAGUAACGCGUAGGUAACCUGCCUUGUAGCGGGGGAUAACUAUUGGAAACGAUAGCUAAUACCGCAUAACAAUGGAUGACACAUGUCAUUUAUUUGAAAGGGGCAAUUGCUCCACUACAAGAUGGACCUGCGUUGUAUUAGCUAGUAGGUGAGGUAAAGGCCCACCUAGGCGACGAUACAUAGCCGACCUGAGAGGGUGAUCGGCCACACUGGGACUGGGACACGGCCCAGGCUCCUUCGGGGAGGAGCCGGAGGGAAUCUUCGGCAAUGGGGGCAACCCUGGCCGAGCCACGCCGCGGGAGUGAAGAAGGGUUUCGGGUCGUAAAGCUCCGUUGUAAGUCAAGAAAGGGUGUGAGAGUUGAAAGUUCACACUGUGACGGUAGCUUACCAGAAAGGGACGGCUAACUACGUG
rnacentral:rRNA from 1 species